rnacentral:lncRNA from 1 species
UUGCAAUUUAAUCAUCCUUAUAAAUGCUAUGUCUAUAACCAUAUCUACAACUAUAUUUACAUUUUGAAUGCCUUGUCUAUUUGUGUCUCUUAUUACAAAUACAUAAUUAUACUGUGCCAUACCUAUGACUUAUUCUGCAGAAUCUUCUCCAAGAGAAACUUUACUUAACCUGCUUGGCAAUGAUUUAGCACUGUUACUCACAUUUUUUCUUCUUCUAUUUUUCUGUAGAUGAGAUCUCAAAAGAGCUCUCCUUGCUAGUUCUUUCCCUAGAUUGGACUUGGUUGUGCCAUUU